rnacentral:tmRNA from 2 species
GGGGGCGACAUGGCUUCGACGUGGGUCGUGAAGCUUAAGGAGCAUGCCGGGGCGCUCGUGGACCUCGAUAAAAACGAGCAUUAUGUAGUUGGCACUACUGAAAUGCCUCUUGCUGCCUAAUUAGUGCAGCUUGCGCCGACUAAGUAAGGGGUGACGUUACUUAGAAGGUGUCAUUAUAGUCACCUCGAUGAGAUGUUGUUUUCUCCAGAGCAUCUCGUUUAAAAAAGCUGGGGGAAGGUCAAUCCGAAGUUUGUUUGUGGACGCCAGAUUGAUCUAAAUAAAACACAAACUAAGCAUGUAGCCGCCUUAAUGUGAAUCACUUGCGGACGCGGGUUCGAUUCCCGCCGCCUCCACCA